AAGGGAAAAUUGUGGUGUGUGAUAGAGGGAUUAAUUCAAGGGCUGCUAAAGGUGAGGUUGUGAAGAAAUCUGGAGGGGUUGGGAUGAUUUUGGCAAAUGGGGUUUUCGAUGGUGAAGGUUUAGUCGCUGAUUGUCAUGUUUUGCCUGCUACUGCUGUUGGUGCUUCUGGUGGUGAUGAAAUUAGGAGGUACAUGUCGGCGGCUUCUAAAUCAAAGUCAUCACCACCUACUGCUACUAUUGUUUUUAGAGGGACUAGAGUUAAUGUUCGGCCAGCGCCAGUGGUGGCCUCAUUUUCAGCUAGAGGGCC
rnacentral:lncRNA from 1 species